CCCUUCGAUGUUCUGGGCCGCACGCGUGUUACACUGAUAAAUUCAACGAGUCUAGAACCUGUUCUGAGAAGAAUGGGGAAUCUUGUGAAAUUUUAUCGUGAUAGGGAUGGAUGAUUGCAAUUAUUCAUCUUAAACGAGGAAUGCCUAGUAAGGGCAGUUCAUCAAACUGUCCUGAUUACGUCCCUGCCCUUUGUACACACCGCCCGUCGCUCCUACCGAUUGGAUAUUCCGGUGAAAUUUUCGGAUUUGUGGGAGGUUAACUUCAACUGGCUUUGUCGGUUGAGACUCUCUGAAAAAGUUAAUUAAAUCUUAGUAUCUAGAGGAAGGAGAAGUCGUAACA
rnacentral:rRNA from 1 species